rnacentral:rRNA from 1 species
GGAGGGGUGCAAGCGUUAUUCGGAAUCACUGGGCGUAAAGAGCGCGUAGGGCGGUUUCUAAAGUCAGAUGUGAAAGCCCGGGGGCUCAACCCCGGAAGUGCAUCUGAAACUUAGGGACUUGAGUAUGGGAGAGGGAAGUGGAAUUCCUGGUGUAGCGGUGAAAUGCGUAGAUAUCAGGAGGAACACCGGUGGCGAAGGCGACUUCCUGGACCAAUACUGACGCUGAGGCGCGAAGGCGUGGGGAGCAAACAGGAUUAGAUACCCUGGUAGUCCACGCAGUAAACGUUGAACACUAGGUGUAGCGGGUAUUGACCCCUGCUGUGCCGCAGCUAACGCAUUAAGUGUUCCGCCUGGGGAGUACGGCCGCAAAGGCUA